rnacentral:lncRNA from 1 species
GCACUGAUUCAAUCAUGCCAAUGUCACCCGGACAAAAGAACUUUCUACACAGGCUUAAGAAAGAGACGCGGCACCUGCAGCAGGAAAGGAGCCCAGCCGGAGAGUUCACCGCACCAGUCAGCGAGCACAGAGUGCUGGACGGAUGACCAGUGGGGCCUUGGGGCAGUGUGGGGCGCAGGAAAAGAGUACCUGGUCCCGCAGUGACUGCAGUGAGGAGGACCCUGCAUUUUUACCCACCCUCCUCACCUGGCACCACUGCUGUACAGGCUGUCAGCUCUGCUCCGGUUCUCAAGUUCACUCGGCAAAAAGCUGAUCUGCCUCCGUGUUUAGAAGCUCCUCACUGGCCAGGAGGGUGGCUCACCUCUACACGUCUGGGCUGGAGAGAACAAAGGAUGUGCUGUUGGGAAAAGAGAUGGGCCUCGGCCCAACUGGGAGGCCUGGGCCCAGCUGCCAUGGCGCACCAAGCGAGGGAUAGAUUUAAAUUCAUAGAAAAGUCGUGGAGAUAAUACAGAGAAUUCCCACAGGCCUCCCGCCACCCGGCUUCCCUGUGAGUGUCUUACAGGAGGACGGCACCUUUGUCACAAUGGAUGUCGGUGCACUAUCAUCAAACAAUAAAGCCUGUCCUUCAUCCGGGUCUCCUA